rnacentral:rRNA from 1 species
AUGCUUUACAGCUUAGAACCGGGGCUCCAAAAGCGUUUUGAGCAUCACGGAGCAUAUGAGAUGUUCGAAGAGCUGAAACUAGUUUUCCAAGCUCAUGCCCGGGUCGAGAGAUAUGAUGUCUCCGACAAGUUCUACAGUUGUAAGAUGGAGGAAAACAGUUCUGUCAGUGAGCACAUCCUGAAGAUGUCUGGGUUGCACAACCGUAUGACCCAGCUGAACAUUAACCUCCCAGAUGAGGCGGUCAUUGACAGAAUCCUCCAGUCGCUCCCACCAAGCUACAAGAGCUUUGUGAUGAACUACAACAUGCAGGGGAUGGUGAAGACCAUUCCUGAAGUGUUCUGA